rnacentral:rRNA from 1 species
ACCCGCACAAGCGGUGGAUGAUGUGGAUUAAUUCGAUGCAACGCGAAAACCUUACCUACCCUUGACAUGUCCGGAAUCCCGAAGAGAUUUGGGAGUGCUCGCAAGAGAACCGGAACACAGGUGCUGCAUGGCUGUCGUCAGCUCGUGUCGUGAGAUGUUGGGUUAAGUCCCGCAACGAGCGCAACCCUUGUCAUUAGUUGCCAUCAUUUGGUUGGGCACUCUAAUGAGACUGCCGGUGACAAACCGGAGGAAGGUGGGGAUGACGUCAAGUCCUCAUGGCCCUUAUGGGUAGGGCUUCACACGUCAUACAAUGGUCGGUACAGAGGGUUGCCAACCCGCGAGGGGGAGCUAAUCCCACAAAGCCGAUCGUAGUCCGGAUCGCAGUCUGCAACUCGACUGCGUGAAGUCGGAAUCGCUAGUAAUCGCGGAUCAGCAUGUCGCGGUGAAUACGUUCCCGGGUCUU